GGAGGUUGUUACGACGGAGAUUACCGGCGCUGCUCGCAAGUCCAUCGUGUGCGGUUUAGGAAUGAUCUGUAGAAACAGCAGGCGUAGUCGCAAAGAAAGAAGACAAAAUGGACGUCGGAACGACGCGGCUUCCUGCAAGGUUGGAGUGCCUUUCAACAAGUAGGACGGCAUGAACAUCAGUAGGCAACACACAGAAGGCAUGAACAUCCUCAUAUGUGAAUAAACCAU